rnacentral:rRNA from 1 species
AUACGGAGGGUGCAAGCGUUGUUCGGAAUUAUUGGGCGUAAAGCGCGUGUAGGCGGUUGUUUAAGUCUGAUGUGAAAGCCCUGGGCUCAACCUGGGAAGUGCAUUGGAAACUGGACAACUUGAGUAUGGGAGAGGGGAGUGGAAUUCCUGGUGUAGAGGUGAAAUUCGUAGAUAUCAGGAGGAACACCGGUGGCGAAGGCGACUUCCUGGACCAAUACUGACGCUGAGGCGCGAAGGCGUGGGGAGC